rnacentral:lncRNA from 1 species
AUGCUCACAAUGAUCUGGCAACUUGGGUCACCUUCUGCGGGGCGGGAAGGAAGUCCUGCAGGGCUGAUUCUGCUUGCUGCUCAGGUAACAGAACACAUGGGGCUGGGGGAGUGGGAGAAACGUUUGCCAGUUCAGGGAUGCUACAGAUGCUCCACGUCCAUGUCGUGGAAAAGGCAAAUUUGCUGCCAGUGGGGAAAAGCUAAUGAAGAACUGCAGUUAACGGAGAGUGCCUCCUGCCCGAAUUAGGCCCUCAGUAGUUAGAAAUGUCUCCCUUUGGGGUAAGAGAACAAACUUUCACCUUGGCUCAAUUGAGACUUGCCCAUUACCUUCUUUGGGCUCAAGUGUUUCUCUUAUCUUUGUUCUUACUAUUUUUUGCAGGCAACUUGGAAGCAGUCUCUUAUUUUUGACUUGUAACUUUAUUUUUAUUAGUAUGUGGUGUCAGUGUAGUUGAUUUUUGAGCACCUAUAUGCUGGUGGAAAUGUAGUGAAUGAAACAUGAUGGAAAUGGAUGCGUCACUUGAUUUAUAUUCUCUUUUUUUUUUUUUUUUGAGUAGCGAUGGCACAUCUUUGUUCUUACUAUUUUUUGCAGGCAACUUGGAAGCAGUCUCUUAUUUUUGACUUGUAACUUUAUUUUUAUUAGUAUGUGGUGUCAGUGUAGUUGAUUUUUGAGCACCUAUAUGCUGGUGGAAAUGUAGUGAAUGAAACAUGAUGGAAAUGGAUGCGUCACUUGAUUUAUAUUCUCUUUUUUUUUUUUUUUUGAGUAGCGAUGGCAUGUUUUUCUAUGGCUCAGUCCAUGACCUUUAAGUAAAAAAAGUUUGUCAUUCCAGGAAAAGACUAGUCCUUCUUAGGACUGAGGUGUAGAGUCGGAGGGUCUCUUAAGGACAUGAUCAGAGCAAGAAGCCAAAUUUCACUUAGUGUUGCUGCUAUUGGUCUUUGCUUUUGUUAAUGCCCCCAGAGCUCCCUUGCAGGUGUGAGGUCUGAAUCAUAAUUUUUUUUUCAGUCUCUAACACGUUUUUUUCCCCAAGGAGCGGCUACGUUGAAAAGUGAAUGAGUUUCCUCCCAGACGUGCCAGUGACUACCAUCGAGUUACGAUUAUUAAAAGCACAAAAGCAACAUGCCCUUAGAGAUGGGGACUACUUCUGGAUACGUGUUAAUCCUGUGCAGGUGUUCUUGGGAUACAGAUCAUCUGCACUUCCUGCUCUGACAAGGCAGUGUGCUGAGACAGGGAUGAGCUCCUGAAGACAAAA